rnacentral:rRNA from 1 species
GACGAACGCUGGCGGCGUGCCUAAUACAUGCAAGUUGAGCGCUGAAGGUUGGUACUUGUACCAACUGGAUGAGCAGCGAACGGGUGAGUAACGCGUGGGGGAUCUGCCUUUGAGCGGGGGACAACAUUUGGAAACGAAUGCUAAUACCGCAUAAAAACUUUAAAUACAAGUUUUAAGUUUGAAAGAUGCAAUUGCAUCACUCAAAGAUGAUCCCGCGUUGUAUUAGCUAGUUGGUGAGGUAAAGGCUCACCAAGGCGAUGAUACAUAGCCGACCUGAGAGGGUGAUCGGCCACAUUGGGACUGAGACACGGCCCAAACUCCUACGGGAGGCAGCAGUAGGGAAUCUUCGGCAAUAGACGAAAGUCUGACCGAGCAACGCCGCGUGAGUGAAGAAGGUUUUCGGAUCGUAAAACUCUGUUGGUAGAGAAGAACGUUGGUGAGAGUGGAAAGCUCAUCAAGUGACGGUAACUACCCAGAAAGGGACGGCUAACUACGUG